GAUGAACGCUGGCGGCGUGCCUAAUACAUGCAAGUCGAGCGAACAGACGAGGAGCUUGCUCCUCUGACGUUAGCGGCGGACGGGUGAGUAACACGUGGAUAACCUACCUAUAAGACUGGGAUAACUUCGGGAAACCGGAGCUAAUACCGGAUAAUAUAUUGAACCGCAUGGUUCAAUAGUGAAAGACGGUUUUGCUGUCACUUAUAGAUGGAUCCGCGCCGCAUUAGCUAGUUGGUAAGGUAACGGCUUACCAAGGCAACGAUGCGUAGCCGACCUGAGAGGGUGAUCGGCCACACUGGAACUGAGACACGGUCCAGACUCCUACGGGAGGCAGCAGUAGGGAAUCUUCCGCAAUGGGCGAAAGCCUGACGGAGCAACGCCGCGUGAGUGAUGAAGGGCUUCGGAUCGUAAAACUCUGUUAUUAGGGAAGAACAAAUGUGUAAGUAACUAUGCACGUCUUGACGGUACCGAAGCAGAAAGCCACGGCUAACUACGU
rnacentral:rRNA from 1 species